UUUUUUUUUUAAAGGAGAAAUUUUACAAGGUUCGCUGGGGAACAGCGGGAGGGAUCAUUACAGAGUUACUACUCCAAACCCAUUGUGAACCUUACCUUUGUUUCUGUUGCCUCGGCGGCGUGGUCAGCGCCCCCUCUGAAAAGAGGACGAUGCCCUCCCCCCGGCAGCACCAAACUCUUUGAAUUUUACAGCGGAUUACAGUUCUGAUUUGAAAACAAAAAACAAGUUAAAACUUUCAACAACGGAUCUCUUGGUUCUGGCAUCGAAUGAAGAACGCAAGCGAAAUGCGAUAAGUAAUGUGAAUUGCAGAAUUCAGUGAAUCAUCGAAUCUUUGAAACGCACAUUGCGCCCGGCAGUAAUCUGCCGGGCAUGCCUGUCCGAGCGUCAUUUCAACCCUCGAACCUCCGUUUCCUCAGGGAAGCUCAGGGUCGGUGUUGGGGCGCUACGGCGAGUCUUCGCGACCCUCCGUAGGCCCUGAAAUACAGUGGCGGUCCCGCCGCGGUUGCCUUCUGCGUAGUAAGUCUCUUUUGCAAGCUCGCAUUGGGUCCCGGCGGAGGCCUGCCGUCAAACCACCUAUAACUCCAGAUGGUUUGACCUCGGAUCAGGUAGGGUUACCCGCUGAACUUAAGCAUAUCAAUAAGCGGAGGAAAAGAAACCAACAGGGAUUGCCUCAGUAACGGCGAGUGAAGCGGCAACAGCUCAAAUUUGAAAUCUGGCGGCCUCUGGGCCGUCCGAGUUGUAAUUUGAAGAGGAUGCUUUUGGCGAGGCGCCUUCCGAGUGCCCUGGAACGGGACGCCACAGAGGGUGAGAGCCCCGUAUGGUUGGACGCCGAGCCUCUGUAAAGCUCCUUCGACGAGUCGAGUAGUUUGGGAAUGCUGCUCAAAAUGGGAAGGUAAAACCCCUUCUAAAAGCUAAAUACUGGGCCAGAGACCGAUAGCGCACAAGUAGAGUGAUCGAAAGAUGAAAAGCACUUUGAAAAGAGAGUUAAACAGCACGUGAAAUUGUUGAAAGGGAAGCGCUUGCGACCAGACUUGUGCCCGUCGAAUCAGCCGCCGCUCGUUCGGCGGCGCACUUCGGCGGGCUCAGGCCAGCAUCAGUUCGCUGCAGGGGGAGAAAGGCGAUGGGAAUGUGGCUCUUCGGAGUGUUAUAGCCCGCCGCGCAAUACCCCUCGGCGGACUGAGGACCGCGCUCGCAGAUGCGCUAUCUGGCCCCCACCCCCCUAAAAAGGGAAAA
rnacentral:rRNA from 1 species